rnacentral:rRNA from 1 species
UACGGAGGAGGCAAGCGUUAUCCGGAAUUAUUGGGCGUAAAGCGUCCGCAGGUGGCUAUUCAAGUCUGCGGUCAAAGACUGGGGCUUAACCCUGGAAAGGCCGUGGAAACUGAAGAGCUAGAGUGCAGUAGGGGUAGAGGGAAUUCCCGGUGUAGCGGUGAAAUGCGUAGAGCUCGGGAAGAACAUCGGUGGCGAAAGCGCUCUGCUAGGCCGCAACUGACACUGAGGGACGAAAGCUAGGGGAGCGAAUGGG